rnacentral:rRNA from 1 species
UUUCGGUAGAAUUCUUAGUGGCGAACGGGUGAGUAACGCGUAGGCAACCUGCCCUUUAGACGGGGACAACAUUCCGAAAGGAGUGCUAAUACCGGAUGUGAUCAUCGUGCCGCAUGGCAGGAUGAAGAAAGAUGGCCUCUACAAGUAAGCUAUCGCUAAAGGAUGGGCCUGCGUCUGAUUAGCUAGUUGGUAGUGUAACGGACUACCAAGGCGAUGAUCAGUAGCCGGUCUGAGAGGAUGAACGGCCACAUUGGGACUGAGACACGGCCCAAACUCCUACGGGAGGCAGCAGUGGGGAAUCUUCCGCAAUGGACGAAAGUCUGACGGAGCAACGCCGCGUGAGUGGUGAAGGAUUUCGGUCUGUAAAGCUCUGUUGUUUAUGACGAACGUGCAGUGUGUGAACAAUGCAUUGCAAUGACGGUAGUAAACGAGGAAGCCACGGCUAACUACGUGCCAGCAGCCGCGGUAAUACGUAGGUGGCGAGCGUCGUCCGGAAUUAUUGGGCGUA